UUUAGCGUAUGUUUUUAUAACUUUAUCAUACAGACGGCAAGUCGAAAAGAUUUAUAGAGUCUGUAUGAAAAGUUGCUAAGAUAUUCAUAACAUAGAGGACAUGUCAUAUGAUUUUCACUCAGGAGUAUAAAAAGUAUGAAAUGUCGUUUAUUUGACAUGUAGAUGACAGAUUGUUCAAUUAACAGAACUCGAAUGACAAAUCGUUUAUGGUUUCACCACGUAUAUGACAAUAAUAAUAUGUUAUAAAACUUUUACACCAUGGUGUGAAUCGUGUAUGACUUGGAGGGUGUAAAUCGUGUAUGACUUGGAGGUUGUAAAAUUUUCAAAUAGAUGAUAUGUCAUACAGAUUUUGAAACUUGUAUGAUAGUUUAUUUUUCAGCAUAUAUAUGUCUUACAAUU
rnacentral:lncRNA from 1 species